rnacentral:rRNA from 1 species
UACGUAGGGUGCGAGCGUUGUCCGGAAUUACUGGGCGUAAAGAGCUCGUAGGUGGUUUGUCGCGUUGUCCGUGAAAACUCACAGCUUAACUGUGGGCGUGCGGGCGAUACGGGCAGACUGGAGUACUGCAGGGGAGACUGGAAUUCCUGGUGUAGCGGUGGAAUGCGCAGAUAUCAGGAGGAACACCGGUGGCGAAGGCGGGUCUCUGGGCAGUAACUGACGCUGAGGAGCGAAAGCGUGGGGGGCGAACAGG